rnacentral:lncRNA from 1 species
AAUGGGUGAUGUUGAAAAAGGCAAGAUGAUUUUUGUUCAGAAGUAUACCCGGUGCCACACUGUGGAAAAUGGAGGCAAGCAUAAGAUUUGAUCAAAUCUCUAUGGUCUGUUUGGGUGGAAGAUAGGUCAGGCUGCUGGAUUCUCUUAUACAGAACAAGAACAAAGGCAUCACCUGGGGAGAGGACACCUUGAUGGAGUAUUUGGAGGAUCCCAAAAAGUACAUCCCUGGAACAAAAAUGAUUCACUUUCU